rnacentral:misc_RNA from 1 species
GACAAACUCAAUGUAUUUUUCGGUGUAACAAAGUUCAAGACACAUAGAAAUCAAUAGAGAAUCAUCAAAACAUGGAUUUACGGGGAUGAAAUAAGACCCAUUUUCAUCUUUAUCACAGAAGCAUAACCAAAGAAUCAUGAGAAUUCAUCUAGAUGACAUUCUGAAAAUAGUAAAUUGACAACCAAAACAGGAACAUCAGCUCAAAAUACAAACUUAAACGAAAUAACACAAAGAUUGAGGCUUUACCCACGCCACAACAGACGACUUGGAAUAGAGAAAGUAGAGGCGUUGCAGAUAGA